rnacentral:rRNA from 1 species
GAUGAACGCUGGCGGCGUGCCUAAUACAUGCAAGUCGAGCGAACGGACGAGAAGCUUGCUUCUCUGAUGUUAGCGGCGGACGGGUGAGUAACACGUGGAUAACCUACCUAUUAGACUGGGAUAACUUCGGGAAACCGGAGCUAAUACCGGAUAAUAUUUUGAACCGCAUGGUUCAAAAGUAAAAGACGGUCUUGCUGUCACUUAUAGAUGGAUCCGCGCUGCAUUAGCUAGUUGGUAAGGUAACGGCUUACCAAGGCAACGAUGCAUAGCCGACCUGAGAGGGUGAUCGGCCACACUGGAACUGAGACACGGUCCAGACUCCUACGGGAGGCAGCAGUAGGGAAUCUUCCGCAAUGGGCGAAAGCCUGACGGAGCAACGCCGCGUGAGUGAUGAAGGUCUUCGGAUCGUAAAACUCUGUUAUUAGGGAAGAACAUAUGUGUAAGUAACUGUGCACAUCUUGACGGUACCUAAUCAGAAAGCCACGGCUAACUACGUGCCAGCAGCCGCGGUAAUACGUAGGUGGCAAGCGUUAUCCGGAAUUAUUGGGCGUAAAGCGCGCGUAGGCGGUUUUUUAAGUCUGAUGUGAAAGCCCACGGCUCAACCGUGGAGGGUCAUUGGAAACUGGAAAACUUGAGUGCAGAAGAGGAAAGUGGAAUUCCAUGUGUAGCGGUGAAAUGCGCAGAGAUAUGGAGGAACACCAGUGGCGAAGGCGACUUUCUGGUCUGUAACUGACGCUGAUGUGCGAAAGCGUGGGGAUCAAACAGGAUUAGAUACCCUGGUAGUCCACGCCGUAAACGAUGAGUGCUAAGUGCUAGGGGGUUUCCGCCCCUUAGUGCUGCAGCUAACGCAUUAAGCACUCCGCCUGGGGAGUGCGACCGCAAGGUUGAAACUCAAAGGAAUUGACGGGGACCCGCACAAGCGGUGGAGCAUGUGGUUUAAUUCGAAGCAACGCGAAGAACCUUACCAAAUCUUGACAUCCUUUGACAACUCUAGAGAUAGAGCCUUCCUCUUCGGGGGACAAAGUGACAGGUGGUGCAUGGUUGUCGUCAGCUCGUGUCGUGAGAUGUUGGGUUAAGUCCCGCAACGAGCGCAACCCUUAAGCUUAGUUGCCAUCAUUAAGUUGGGCACUCUAAGUUGACUGCCGGUGACAAACCGGAGGAAGGUGGGGAUGACGUCAAAUCAUCAUGCCCCUUAUGAUUUGGGCUACACACGUGCUACAAUGGACAAUACAAAGGGCAGCGAAACCGCGAGGUCAAGCAAAUCCCAUAAAGUUGUUCUCAGUUCGGAUUGUAGUCUGCAACUCGACUACAUGAAGCUGGAAUCGCUAGUAAUCGUAGAUCAGCAUGCUACGGUGAAUACGUUCCCGGGUCU